rnacentral:misc_RNA from 1 species
CGUCGUCGAUCGUCCCAUUUGACUCCUCGUUCCCUCCCGUCUUUUGACCGGCGGUGCUUGGGCAGGGGUCGGUCUUGAUGUCGUAACGAUCGUUCCAGCACAUGAGCGGUGAUGGGUCUGCGUGCGUCGACGGGCUCCCUGCCACCGUGCAGCUGACCGCCGUCGCCGCCUCCCUUUUAUUGUCCCUCUCGAGCCGUUGUGUCUUUGUGCCUCUCGAGUUGCCUGCACGAUCUACCGGAUUUGUCGUACGGAAAACGGAUGGUCUUUGCCCACAAGCAACUCUGCUCACUCUCUGCCCCGCGCUGCAGUUGGAGCGGCUACGCAACCGUUGCCCCCGAUGCUCGCUCGGACGAUGGUGCGCCUUCGGGCUGCCGUCGUCCUUGAUCAUCGUGCCUUCGGUGGUUUCGGUGAGCGCUCUCGGGCCCGGCAAAUAAGUCUUCCGGCUAGGGGGCGGUGCCCCUUCCCUGCCGCGAACUCUCCUUUUUCGGUCGCCCUCGGUUUGGACGACGACGCUCGGCUCCUUGUCGCGCCCCCCGCCACCGUCCCCCGCCUUGGCGUCGGACGGGCGCUGCGGGGCGCGGCACGUCGUGGACGAUG